GGUGGUUAAAGCGCUGAAUAGUUGACACAUGAUGCAACUAUUUGACUCACUAGCAAUAAUAAUUUGUUGGUGGGUCAGGUAAUUAUAAUUAGUAUCAGAACUGAAUAUCAGCAGGAAGUGUAAGAGUUACGUACUAUGUGGGAUAAAGUGCCACACCAACGAAUUUGGUGGGAGCCACUUCUGAAAUCUCACAUUACCAGUAAUUCUAUCCUGUAUCUGUGAUUUGGUUUAAAUUCAACAAGAACGUCAUGAUCUAAACAUGAAAAGUUUGUAAUACCACAAUAAUACCAUAUCGGAUGAAAAAAUGAGAAUAUAUAAGACCUAAACGCUAGUAAUAAAAAUCGAGUUUAAGUAUUUUAGGCCAAUGGUUUGAGUCUAACAAGUUAUUAUUGUUAGAAUGUCUGGCCGUUACACCUGAAAUCUCAAGUUCAAAGUCCAAUAGCUUUAUAUUUUUAGCUAACUUAAUUAUUUUUAAAUAAACCCUCUCAAAUAUA
rnacentral:lncRNA from 1 species